CGCGGCCUAUCAGCUUGUUGGUGGGGUAACGGCCUACCAAGGCAGCGACGGGUAGCUGGUUUGAGAGAACGAUCAGCCACACUGGGACUGAGACACGGCCCAGACUCCUACGGGAGGCAGCAGUAGGGAAUCUUGCGCAAUGGGCGAAAGCCUGAUGCAGCGACGCCGCGUGGGGGAUGAAGGCCUUCGGGUUGUAAACCCCUUUCAGGAGGGACGAAGCGAAAGUGACGGUACCUCCAGAAGAAGCCCCGGCCAACUACGUGCCAGCAGCCGCGGUAAUACGUAGGGGGCGAGCGUUGUCCGGAUUUAUUGGGCGUAAAGAGCUCGUAGGCGGCUCAACAAGUCGGCCGUGAAAGCCCGAGGCUUAACCUCGGGACGCCGGUCGAAACUGUUGUGGCUAGGGUCCGGUAGAGGAGAGUGGAAUUCCCGGUGUAGCGGUGAAAUGCGCAGAUAUCGGGAGGAACACCAGUAGCGAAGGCGGCCCUCUGGGCCGGCACCGACGCUGAGGAGCGAAAGCUAGGGGAGCAAACAGGAUUAGAUACCCUGGUAGUCCUAGCCGUAAACGAUGGGUACUAGGUGUGGCGGAUUCAUUGACAUCUGCCGUGCCGAAGCUAACGCAUUAAGUACCCCGCCUGGGGAGUACGG
rnacentral:rRNA from 1 species